CUACAACUUGCUGUUUUGGGGGGAUUCCAAGCUAAGCUUCCCUGUGUCUGAUAGUCCUGCUAGUUGGGGAGUCUUGUUCCCCUGGAGAAUGUGUCUACUGUAGAACCCCAGAGUCUGGCCCAGCUGUCUCCUAGCUCACUGAUGCAGUGUGUUCACAGGAAUCACUUUCCAGUAAAGAGGGCUUCUACUGGGCAAACAUCUUAUUAGAUGCCACUUCAAAGACAAAUGGCAGAGCAGAAUUUCCGCUGUGUUCUUGUGAUGACACGUAUGUUGUUAGUAGCUGCUCGGUACUGAGUGAGGUUCUGCUGAUCUCACAAAGAUCAAGUUGCAGUGAGACCGGGAUGUCUGGACUCCAGAGCCGAUGACAAGUUUCUGCGUGGUUGUGCCUAUACUGACCAGUGGUUUUCUUACGUUGCUCAUCAAAGAAGAUCUUGUGGCAGUGUCUGUCCUGAGACCUAAGAGGAUAAAAUCAAUUUUGUUCAAAAGACGACUAUGGCACUGUUCUGAAGGCCUUCUUGUCACUCAGCAAAGAAAUGGAAACUGCACAGGACCAACAUCAGCUGGUGAUGAAAUCGAGUUCAGUGGCAUUUGCACCAUGCUUUUGGUAGACAGAAGCUCCCUGCCCGGCCCCUGUUCCAUGAUUGUAUACAAACGGAAAACAAUGAAAUCAUGGCAAUCCACUGAUACAAUUCUUUUAACAAGAAUGCAAGUAAGAAUAGCAAGAAGUCAUCAGAAGAAAAACAGAGCAAGAAGUCAAGUGUAUCAAGUGUGUUUCAGUUUCACCACUUGUUUGUAUUCCCCUAGGUUCUCCCUAUCUAAAUAAUGAUUAAGGGCAUACAAAUCUCAGAUUCAAACACUGAUGCCUUAAACAGAAUAUAAGCUUGUCAUCCUCUUGAUUUUUUGCCUUGAUGCUGUUUCCAUGUCUGGCUCUACAUCAUAGCUCAUCAACACUUUGCUUUCUGCUAGCCCAUUUCAGACACUUUUGCUUUUUUCUCAUGAUUCUUUUGAAAAUAACUCUAAUACUAACCUCCAGCUACAUCUACAGUGACUAUACUUACUGUUUACUUUUGUUCAUAGACUGCUUCUGCAGGAGUCAGGUUAGAGAAAUUUAUCAAACAAAUGAUGAAAAAUGUGCAUAAGCAGAGCCUUAGGUGUCAAUUCUAAGGACUUACAAAAUAAUUGUCUACUGACUUUUUGAAUCAUAAGUAAAAGUUAUCAGAUUUAAGGAGCUCACAGCAGGUCUUAAAGUUUUAUUUUUGUUCGUUCACUUUUAUUCUUUUUUUUUCUGAUUGUAUAUUUCUUUUUUUUUAACUUUUAUUUAAUGAAUAUAAAUUUCCAAAGUACGGCUUAUGGAUUACCACUUUUAUUCUUUUUAAAAAAGAUUUAUUUAUUUGAAAGAGUCAGAAGAGAGAGAGAGAGAAGAGAUACUGAGAGUCUAUCCACUGAUGGCCUCCAGGUGGCUGCAAUAGCCCAGGCUGGGCCAGGAGCUUCAUCCAGGUCUCCUAUGUGGGUGACAGGGCCCAGGUUCUUGGGACAUCUUUAGCUGCUUUUUCCAAGCCAUUAGCUGGAUACGAAGUGGAGCAGCUAAGACUUGAACCUACUGCUGGUGCUGCAGGUGGAAGCUCUACCCACACUUACAUUCUUUAGAAAUAUUAUUUUGUUUUGAAAUAUUACAAUAUAAUAUCCUUAAAGUUGUGUUUACUGAGAUUUUCCAAGAACUAAAUGUAAACCUGAAAGUUAUAAAUAUCCUUGACUGGAAUUCUCUUGUAAUUUAUCUCUUCUAUUAAAUAAUAUUUCACAUGUGAACUGUAUUUUAAUUAUGU
ensembl:lncRNA